rnacentral:rRNA from 1 species
UACGGAGGGUGCGAGCGUUGUCCGGAAUCACUGGGCGUAAAGGGCGCGUAGGCGGCGCGGGUAGUCAUCGGUGAAAGUUCAGGGCUCAACUCUGAAUCGGCCGGUGAUACUCCCGUGCUCGAGCACUGUAGAGGCAGGUGGAAUUCCGGUGUAGCGGUGGAAUGCGUAGAGAUCCGGAAGAACACCGGUGGCGAAGGCGGCCUGCUGGGCAGUACGCUGACGCUGAUGACGCGACGAGCGAUGGGGAGCAAACAGG